AACGAGAACCUUUUGUUCCGUAAGGAGCAGAGGGGGACAAUGGCGAACGGGUGCGUAACACGUGAGAAACCUGCCCCGAAGACCGGGAUAGCCCGGGGAAACCCGGAUUAAUACCGGAUACCCUCCCGAGAUCGCAUGAUCUCUCGAGGAAACGGUCCGCCGCUUCGGGAUGGUCUCGCGGCCUAUCAGCUUGUUGGUGAGGUAACGGCUCACCAAGGCUACGACGGGUAGCUGGUCUGAGAGGACGAUCAGCCACACUGGGACUGAGACACGGCCCAGACUCCUACGGGAGGCAGCAGCAGGGAAUAUUGCACAAUGGGCGCAAGCCUGAUGCAGCGACGCCGCGUGCGGGAUGAAAGCCUUCGGGUUGUAAACCGCUUUCAGAGGGACGAAAAUUGACGGUACUUUCAGAAGAAGCCCCGGCCAACUACGUGCU
rnacentral:rRNA from 1 species